rnacentral:lncRNA from 1 species
UAUUCCUGAAUGAACAGCUCAGGCCCCCUGCCACUUGUCAGUGUCACCUCAGGCUGCAGCCAGUUUCUAUAGCGACGGCACUGAUCCAGGGCUCCAGAGUAGUAACAAAGCCUGUUCCCUGCUCUCAGACACUCGCUGCUGCUGAGGCUGAGGGAGGACGAGGGCACCGUCUCCUGAAGAAACCCUGCCUGCAGCACUCAAAACAGAAUCAAUGUCUUACAGACAGCACAGUAAUUCUCAGAGCUUCUGAAGGGCAAAAAAUCUGGAGAAGGAAAACGGGUCCCCAGAUUAUCUACCUAAUUGAGCAAGCCAGUGGAAAAAAUAUUAGCAGAGAAGAGAGUGGUAAAUCUUUGAGCCUGCUCUUUGAAGUAAUUGUCUUAUUUCUCUGUAUAGCAUAAUGAUUGUGUUUUUAAGGAUAUGAUUUCUAUUGUGCAAUAUUUAUUCAUAUUAUAAUGGAUCAUUUCUUUUGAUUUCAGGGUCAUAAAGGGAAAGCCAUCUACAGUGAAAAAGUAUUGCAGGAAAAAGUAACCAAACAGUUUGUCCAAUACAGAAAAAAAUGGAAGCCCACGUAAACAGGAAAUGAAUUAAUUAAAAGUGGUUUUUUUUAAAAGAAAUAAUUGUUGAAUACUUUUUUUUAACAAAACUAAUU